AAUAAUUAUGUUUAGCUUAAACCAAAUAAUUUUCCAUACCCUUUCAAAAUCAAGUCAAAAACCCUAGGAUCUGUUUGGUAUGUGUGUUUAAAUAAUAGUUUUCAAUUUUAUAUAAUGUUAUUUAAAAAUUGAAAACAUGUAUUUAAACUUGUGUACCAAACAGACCCUAUCAUAUCUAUAUAAAUACCUCUCUUAUGUCUUGGAAGAAAACUGAGGAACACGAACACACACAAAAUCGGCAGUUCCACGAUCUAGAAAACCCUAUACAACAACCCACUCGCCGUUUCAACUCCACAGUCCACAGCAGAGAUGGCGGAGGAGGCAGAUAAGAAGGAUUUUCUACUGAUGAAAGAAGCAUGGAAAGCCGUUCGAAAGGCCAAAGAGGAGCUGACAGCGGCGCAAGAACGCGCUGAUGCGUUGGCCGGCAAGGUUGUAAACUUGCCGGAAGUACCAGUUUCUUCCGAGAAUGACUUAAAUGGAAUUAAGUACCUGAAGGAGCGCCAUGAUUUUCAGGGUGACGCGAAGAUUUCCAAGGAGCUUCCUGAAAAGGCCAAAGUUGCUAUAAAGCAGAAGGCGAGCGAACUUAAAGUCAUAGUAAAAGAUUGAAGGCCUGGGGUGAUACCACAUUUCUGGGAGCUGCUGAAUAGUUGCUAGCACAUAUCUGGAAGUAACUGAAUGUCUGGAGAAGUAUUUGUCUUUCUGUAUGAAAAACAUCUCUAUUGUAAAUCCAUUAUGCAGUAUGCACCACUAUUAGUAUUAACUUUUGAGUUCGUUUUGGACAUCAUAUCUAACAUUAUGAUCUACUGCUUUUCUUAAACACAUCUAUAUAUUUGAAAUAUGUUAUAUUGGUGGCU